rnacentral:rRNA from 1 species
UACGGAAGGCAGCAGUGGGGAAUAUUGCACAAUGGGCGCAAGCCUGAUGCAGCCAUGCCGCGUGUAUGAAGAAGGCCUUCGGGUUGUAAAGUACUUUCAGUCGUGAGGAAGGUGUUAAGGUUAAUAACCUUAGCAAUUGACGUUAGCGACAGAAGAAGCACCGGCUAACUCCGUGCCAGCAGCCGCGGUAAUACGGAGGGUGCGAGCGUUAAUCGGAAUUACUGGGCGUAAAGGGCACGCAGGCGGUUAAUUAAGUUGGAUGUGAAAUCCCCGGGCUUAACCUGGGAAUGGCAUUCAAGACUGGUUAGCUAGAGUCUUGUAGAGGGGGUAGGAAUUCCAUGUGUAGCGGUGAAAUGCGUAGAGAUGUGGAGGAAUACCGGUGGCGAAGGCGGCCCCUGGACAAAGGACUGACGCUCAUGUGCGAAAGCGUGGGGAGCAAACAGGGAUUAGAUACC